AGGGCGACCGGAUCCACCCCGCGGGUCACCACCAGAUAGUCGCGCAGCACCGUGCUGUGGCGCAUCUC
rnacentral:sRNA from 1 species